GUGAGAUGUCUUUUGUGUGUGUAGAAUGUGAGCUAAAGCAUGCGGAACCAUGAGGUCGGAAUAUCCUACUAAACCUCUAGAGGCUGUAACUGCCUUCUCUGCAGCUGCUACAGCUCUGAGGCAGAGGGGCAGGCCUGCUGCUACUGGAUCCAGUUUUGUAGAAGAAAAACAAGCAACAGGUAUGCGUUUAUCCCCAUGUUUCUGACACAGGACAGAGGUCGCGUAUCCACCCCUUUGGUCGACAAAUUGGACCAAUGGCUUGUUUGGAUUUGGUGUAGCUACGCCCCUGGAAGGUGAAUGCCAACCAACAUUCACACUCAGGAUGGACGGGCAUGGAGAAAAAUGCAUUCGCCAAAUCAACUACUGGACAAAAUGGUUCCUUGCUCUUCCUGAUGUGUCACCAGACUGAUUGUCUUCCUGAUUCCUGAUUGUGUCCACCUGUUCCCGCUUCCCCAUGUGUUCAUAUAGUCUGCGUCUCCCUUUGUCUUGUGCCAGUGUGUCGUCCUACGUCGUCAUACCAGCCAGUGUCCAAGAUCCAUAGUCAUAGUUUCUCUAGUCUCGUGACCACAGUUUUACCUCGUUCGAGUGAUUUUUCUUUGUAGCUCUUUUUUGUUCCAGCGUCAGGUCUCAGUUAGGUUUAGAUAAGUAGCUUUGUUUUCCUCCUUUUGGAGUGACCUUCUUUUUGGAUCUAUUAGUACUCUGUACUAUGAAUAAACUGUCAUCCUAUACACCUGCUCUGCGUCUGAGUCCCGCUCGGUUCUGAC
ensembl:lncRNA